CCUCCCAUUGCCGUGUGGUGGGGUGUGUUAUGGGUGUUAACACACCCCACCACACCAUGGAUGUUGACACCUGUUGCAGUACACUUCAUGAUCCUGAGCUAUAGUUAAGCUAUUAGGAGGUAAAAUUGCUUCAGUAUAGUUGCACAGGCGUUUGACGACUUGUGAUAAGUAAUGCCUGCAGCCUAUAUAAUGCACUAAUGCCAGUCUUGCAGUAUGUUUCAUUCUCUUUUACUUGAAACAGCAACACACCACCACACAAGGCAAAAAGGAAGGCGUGACGAACAAGUGCUGAACUAUUAACAGAGAAUUCUUAUGAAAGCAGAAUGUCAUAACAUCCUCAGUGCACAGGACAUAUUUUUCACAGUGCUUAAUGUUACAACCCUGCUAUUCCUGCGCCACACUUUCAGCCCUACUGUCUACAGCAGCAAAUAUCUUUCCCAACUUAUUCUUUGCUGAAAAUACGACAUUAAGGCUGUAUCUUGCCCCAACCUUCUUGAGCCGGUGCUAGACGCUAUGUAGAUAAGGAACGCUGACUACAAACUCAUUAUCUUUUACGGGCAUUUAUUUCUGUGCUUUCAAUAAACAUUGCGUUGAUAGUACAGCGCUUGUCCAUCAUUUCUUCCUUUUCAUCGUGUAGUUUCGUGCUUAGUUUCAAGUAUGGAUUACCAACACGCCCAGCAUACUGUUCUGAUUAUCUUUUACACAGAAUGUGAUGACCACAACUAUGCAUCAAAAUAUGUCCCAUCCCCUACCCGUGGACCUACUCCAAGAUACGCUUCAACAGGUACACAGUGCAGGAUCGACACAAGGAGCUGCAGCACUCAGACGGAUAGCAGUGUGUGCUGUGGCAAUUGCUCACUCUGUAGUGGUGAUGGUAAUCAUCCUGGGCUGCUGUUUGCCCCUCGCUCCACAUCAACGCCUUCAAGAAAGUCUUGUGCUGAUGACUGCAAUGUGAUGUCUGGUCCCGCUACCCCGUCAGUGGCCCCACUAUUCCUGUCAAUGACCCCAAGAACACCAGCUACCAUCCGAUGUCGGAUGACAGCAUGCAUCUAAUCCACAUGUGAAAACAAGCCCGCAAAUGGAAAAAGUAGGCUUCAUGCAAUGCCUUGGUGAACUGCACUCCAAAGACCUGAAGGUUUCAACUGUGACCACCGACAGACACCCCGGGAUUCGCAAAUAUAUCAGGGAAAAAGAGCCAGGCAUCAAGCAUGAGCUGGACAGCUGGCAUGUUGUGAAAGGUCUACGGAAAAACUUGAAGGCAUUGCAAAAAGGGCUGGUUGCACGAUAGUGAACGGGUGGAUUCAAUACAAAUGCAGCCACCUCUACUUCAGUGUUGCGAUGUCCGAGGGUAAUGUCGCUCUUCGGAUCAGCAUCUGGAAGAGCCUAACAUAACACAUUGUGAAUAUUCACAAUGGCCAUGAGGGGCCAUACCAUCGAUGCCUACACGACCAGAUUUCUCACAAGGAGUGGCUUGAUCCUGGGAGUGCAGUUUACAAGAAACUUUGUGGAAUGGUCCUGAACAUCCGUCUCAUCAAAGACAUUGCUCAGCUUUCGGCAGAUGCACAAACAUCGUGUUUGGAGUCAUUCCAUCCGUUGAUGAUACGUUUGGCCUCAAAGUCUGUGUCAUAUUCACCAACUUUGAUGUCUGCUAGAACCAUGCUUGCAGUCUUACAUCACAAUGCAAACACAACACGUAAACAAGCUUGUGGCAUUGACGGU
rnacentral:lncRNA from 1 species